rnacentral:snRNA from 1 species
GGAUGUUAGGACGACCUGGCUGUGACAUCUGUCACCCCAUUGAUGCCAGGGUUGAUUCAGCUGAUCUGGCUGGCUAGGUGAGUGGUGCCUUCCUCCCUCACCGCUCCACGUACAUCUCUCCUGAAACUGCAACACAGUAGAAGAGGACAACCUUUUCUGAGAGAGGAGGACCAUGCUUCAGUCAAGGGUAUAUGAGUAGUUGUCCUCCCCUGCUAGAACCUCCAAACAAGCUCUCAAAGUAUACAGGCUCUGUAGAAAGAUGUGGAUUACAGCAAAUGACAACAACAUUUGAAUGGUUAGCCAGAGAGGUGGGAGUGGAUGCUGGGAAAGCAACCUGUGUCUUC